GAUGAACGCUGACAGAGUGCUUAACACAUGCAAGUCAACUUGAACUUCGGUUUGGGUGGCGGACGGGUGAGUAACGCGUAAAGAACUUGCCUCACAGUUAGGGACAACAUUUGGAAACGAAUGCUAAUACCUGAUAUUAUGAUUUUAGGGCAUCCUAGAAUUAUGAAAGCUAUAUGCGCUGUGAGAGAGCUUUGCGUCCCAUUAGCUAGUUGGAGAGGUAACGGCUCACCAAGGCGAUGAUGGGUAGCCGGCCUGAGAGGGUGAACGGCCACAAGGGGACUGAGACACGGCCCUUACUCCUACGGGAGGCAGCAGUGGGGAAUAUUGGACAAUGGACCAAGAGUCUGAUCCAGCAAUUCUGUGUGCACGAUGAAGUUUUUCGGAAUGUAAAGUGCUUUCAGUUGGGAAGAAAAAAAUGACGAUACCAACAGAAGAAGUGACGGCUAAAUACGUG
rnacentral:rRNA from 1 species